AUACGUAGGUGCCAAGCGUUAUCCGGAUUUACUGGGCGUAAAGGGCGUGUAGGCGGUCUUGCAAGUCAGAAGUGAAAUUCCUGAGCUCAACUCGGGCGCUGCUUCUGAAACUGCAGGACUUGAGUGCUGGAGGGGAUAGCGGAAUUCCUAGUGGAGCGGUAAAAUGCGCAGAUAUUAGGAAGAACACCGGUGGCGAAGGCGGCUAUCUGGACAGUAACUGACGCUGAGGCGCGAAAGCGUGGGGAGCAAACAGGAUGAGAUACCCUGGUAGUCCACGCCGUAAACGAUGAGUGCUAAGUGUUGGAGGGUUUCCGCCCUUCAGUGCUGCAGCUAACGCAUUAAGCACUCCGCCUGGGGAGUACGACCGCAAGGUUGAAACUCAAAUGAAUUGACGGGG
rnacentral:rRNA from 1 species